UUAUCAAAAUCGAUUUUGUAUAUAAAUCAUUACAUAUUUUAUAGUUUAGGAUUGAAUUUCAUCAAUAAAUUAUACAUUUAUCCACAAUUGUAUAUAAUCCUCUUAUCAUGCAUUUCCAUUAAUGUCCACUUAACUCUCGAACAACGUGUGUGUUCCAAUAAUUAUUCUCUCGCGAUCCGAUGUCACUUCAGAAAUUGAACACCACCCUGGUAUUCUGAUCCCUCGAGGGUCUUCGAUACCUUCCACUCGAAUCACAAAAAGAAUCGAUGAAUAAAAUUUGUAUCGAUAACUAGAGAGCGCCAAGGUAGAAAGUUCCUUAUACAAUUGCGAUCCAUUGUCAUUGUCUUAAUUUAAAUACCAAAGAAAUCAAGAAGAAAAACAAAUUAAAAUUUUUAUUAUGUUCAACAGUUACGAAUAUUACAAAAUGAUUCCAAGAAAUGAUUCCAGAUACACGUAAGGAAAAUUUACGAUUUCAUAUAUGUAUAAGUGCUUGCACCAGGUACUUUGCAGAUUUCUUUUUUAGAGCGGAAGUGGAGCACCUUCCGACCGAUAUACGCAACAACGUCAAAGUGGGUGGCGAUGAGGAUGUAGGUAGGGAUACAGACGAUGCUACGGGGAGUAGGCAAUAGCAUGGGGAUAGGCCGUAAUUGGUAUAAAAUCAUCGAGCAAACACAUCGGACAAGACAGCCUGAGGGUUGUGGGCGGUGUUACGUGCCGUUGCCUUGGUAACCAUGGGGCGACUCUGCUAAAGCACCCCUUCGCCUUGAUUGCGCACAGGCCCAUCCGUUCAUGUUUUCGUUGCUUUAUCAUCGGAUUUCUUGCACAAUGACGGCAACUUUCUGCGUUGCCACAAGAUACAGGUCAAGGACGUAUUAAGCCUUAGGCCUUUGAAAUUUCUAACAACAUAAUUUUGAUGAUGCAAACGUUCAAAAAGAGAUUAUUAUUGUAUCCCCCGUCUUGACAAAAAUCAAGACAAAUUCUGACUUUGAACUACAUUA